GCAAUCACAGGGGAAGGAUGGCCAGCCACACAGGAGGGUGAUUUUCACUACGGAGUAGGAGGCCGUGCUGAUGGAGAUGCAUGCUGGCCAUUUCGGAGUGAAGCGUAUCCUUGGCAAAAUAAACCUACGCUUCUUCUGGAGUGGGAUUGUCAAGGAUGUGGACAGCUGGGCAAAUUAAAUAACCUUUUGUUUAUCAAUCACAUUCUAUUAUAUCUGACAUUGACUGUCAUAUCAGAGAGCACACAAUGUUUCAAUGUGCCACGUUGUGCCUAAAGGUCAGUACCUGUCUAGUCUGCCAGAAGUUUAAGAGGGUGAAGACUGUGGCGCCGGAGUUGAUGCCCAUCAGUUGUUUCACCGUGGCACAUGAUUGGUCAACCCAUCAGUUGUUUCACCGUGGCACAUGAUUGGUCAACCCAUUAGUUGUUUCACCGUGGCACAUGAUUGGUCAACCCAUCAGUUGUUUCACCGUGGCACAUGAUUGGUCAACCCAUUAGUUGUUUCACCGUGGCACAUGAUUGGUCAACCCAUUAGUUGUUUCACCAUGGCACAUGAUCGUAAGUGGCACAAGUCACAUUUUACUAAGUUGUUUUGUAAUGGCUGCUUUUAUUUGACCACAACAGAGUUCAAUAUUAUAGAAAUGUGUUUGUGUGUCAGUAUCCUUACACAUAUGAGAAUCUGCAUACUGUAGGACACAGAUACGGGUAAGAAUAAAGUCAACUUCUCUGUAACACUUUAAAUGUUUGGGGUGGAACUCAUCGUACUCUUCACUAAAUCCAGGAUUGGCAACAGCUGGUGUCUGACGGUGACCGAUCACUUUACCAAGUGGGUUGAGGCUAUACCCAUUAAGGUCAGUAAAAGGAAGACAGCGUGCUUAACUCUCCAUUCCCAUCUGUAACCCAUUAAAAAGGGUGGUAGGAACCAAACAGAUAUUUGUUUUGUAUGAUACCCAUCAAGGAUGAAACUGGCGAGGCCACCUCCAAGGCGAUGAUUGACAUUUUCAAAACCCACGGUUCUCCUGAGGUCAUCUCGAAUCACCGAAGUCGUGAACUCUGGAACAAGGUUUGGAUGAAUGGACUAACCAGACCCUCAAGACCCUCUGUAAAGGCUUUCCUCUUCAUCUGAAGAGGAGAGGCGAGAAGGAUCGGAGGACCACUAUGCGGCGUGGUAAGUGUCCAUGGUUCUUUUAAUAAGAAAUACUUAACAUGAACACAACGGAUACAAAAACAAUAAAUGUGAAACGAACGAAAACCGAAACACAGACACGGAAACAAACACCCACAAACACACAGUGAAACCCAGGCUACCUAAGUAUGAUUCUCAAUCAGAGACAACUAAUGACACCUGCCUCUGAUUGAGAAACAUACAAAUCCCAAAAUCAUAGAAAAACAAACAUAGACUGCCCACCCCAACUAACGCCCUGACCAUACUAAAUAAAUACAAAAACAAAAAAAAUAAAGGUCAGAACGUGACACCCUCAAGACAAGUCCCUUGAUGGGUUCCAGGAACGGUCCACACGACAGCAGCAUCCAGGCCUCCACCGAGUACUCGUCCUACCGCCUGCUGUACGGACGUGAGACCUGCAGAUGUUGACUGAUGGUCACCAAUGCAAAGAAAAAGCCGUAUCUCAGACUGGCCAAUAAAAAAAUGGAGGCAGAAGAACUCUGCCUAGAAGGUCAGCAUCCCGGAGUCGGGAUGCCGACCUUGUGAUCUGUAAGGUAAGUUUAAUGUUUAACUUUAAUGUGUCAAGCAGAUUACCACUUUUCUUUGCUAUUUUCCAAAACGUAGCAACGCUUAAGCCAUGGAUUUCAUGUUGAAAUGUUAAUUAACAAGGUACCCAAAAAGUAGUUUGAAGUAAUAUUUCCAUAUUAUUAGCUUAUCAAAAGAAUGUCACGGAAAUCGGCUUUGUUUGCAUAGCGGGGAUGAAAAGAACAUAAUUUAGGCUGUAAUGAUCUCCACAGUUCAACGUAUUUGGGUUAUCACACCGUUGAUAUAGCAACAGACGCU
rnacentral:lncRNA from 1 species